ensembl:lincRNA
AAAAGUUAUUAUUUUUAUUCUCACUGCAAUGACUUGUUAAAAUGUUAUUUUGAAUACGAAUAUUCAAAACAUAAUCGCUCAUUUACCCAGCUUGUACAGUAUUUACAUUUCAGUUUGUAAAUACAGAUGGCACCACAUCUCCUACUAUCAUUGCGGCUACAAACAAUUUCAGAAUUGCAUUUGUCACCGUUUUACGCCAGGGUCUGUUCUACCCGCCUUGUGUGACAGAGCUGCUCAUGGGUGGGUACAGGCUGCCGCGCUAAUCCGUUUAGCUGUGAUGAAGCGCAAGGCAUCCGAGAGACUCCGCGUCGUGGUCACGCCAGCGCGCCUGGUAGCAAAUCGGCAGUCCGGUGAUGGAUUACUGCAGCUGAAAUGAAGAAUAAAGAAGGAUGAAACCGCUAGGUGGCAGGAGAAAUCUCCAUCUGUCCCACUGUCAGCACUGGCUGUACUGGAAGCUAAGCAAACACCCCAAGACAAGAGCUGAAAGAGCUGCUUUGAUUAUACAGACCGGGAGGCGUUUGACCAGACUGACAUCCUCACCUCCUGUUGGAGGUCUGUGGGGAGGAGGGGGCGCUGCUAUCAACACAUUCCAGGGGAGCCCCACCCAGGUCCAGCAGCUUUUCCAGAUCACUCCUAAAGGGGCAGUUUCUGAAUUGCUCAGUACUGUUCAAUGAAGCAGGUGAUUCGGGCAAUCAGGUAGUUUGAAGAUCAUCCAUCCAUCCAUUUUCCAACUGCUUUAUCCGAUACAGGGUUUCAGGGGAGCCGCAACUUAUCUCGGCAAGCAACAGGAGCAGGGCAGGGUACAUCCUGGAUGGGACACCAGUCCAUCACAGGGCAGACACAGGCAUGAACACACACACUCACUCCAGGACCAGUUUUCCCAGCUUACCCGUAUGUUUUCCCAAUUAACCUACCAGUUUUCCCAAUUAACCUACCAACCUAACCUACCAUGUUCUGGGACUGUGAAACCAGAGCACCUGGAGGAAACCCACAGGUAGAACAUGCAAACUCCACACAGACAGCACCCCAGGUCUGGACUUAAACCCUGGGCAGCGAGGCAGCAAUGCAGAUCACUGAGCCACCGUGCCACCUGCUGAAACCUGUAGCUGAAUGCAAGAAAUUCCCUGGCUGCCUUCAUAACCACAUCAGAAAAAUCACGGAGUGAUUCUGUGCUUCGUUUUUUAAACGACAUUCCAUGUAUACAGUACAGCUAUCCAUAUAAAAUGCUUCUUUCAUUCAUCUGUUCAUGCUGGUAUACAUAUACAGUGUUCUACAGCAUUGAAGCUUAUUGCUCUCUGGCGGUAUAUUAUGUGUCCUUUUGUACGAUACUUUUAUGUCAGCAAGAUGAAAACCGCUGUCAGCAAAGUGUGGAAGAACAGUCACAGCCUCUAAAAGAUGAACGGGGUAAUUAAGGUUGUCUCUUCAUGGGAAGACAUGGAUUAAGGGUUCAUUGUGCAGUUCUACAAUUCUGCAGACUGCAUGCGUGGGAAAAACAGGCUGAAUCUGAAUUAUGAUUGCUGUGGUUGGACCACAUUUACAUAUUUUAACAUGCGAUUCACAUUGCAGAUAAAUCUAAAUCAAAUAGUAUUAUUUCCUGGGUUUAGCUAUGUCAGCCAAGAAACCCUUGGUUUCCUUGACAAUUUUUCCCCAAAACUACAAGCUUCCUUCUGUUAGCACGUGCAUCUAUUGCAAUUUCUUAGAAAAAUGCCUGAAAUGAUGAGCUAGGCCAGGGAUCCCCAAUUCUGAUCCUGGAGGAAUCUUAUCUCAAGGUUUUCAGUGCAGACUGCUUUAAGGGGACAUGGAAAACCUGGAGACACACUAACCAGCCCUCCAGGACCAGGACUGGGCACCAGUGACCUAUGGAGUUAACUGGUGGUCCAAUACAAUCUUCUAGUGGUCUGUCAAUCUUUUAUUGGAAUGUCAAAACUAAUCUCUCUUACAUGUUGGAGAAGCAACCUUCUUAUCACAGGUCUAACUAAUAGAACAGGUUACACACAGCAACUAGUGUUUACUGGGGGGACAUACAAUCCAAUCACCAAGAGCGUUGUCACAUUUUCACUGGGAAAAAGGAAAAUGAACGAAGAAGAAGCCAGGGAGUCAGCAAAUGAGGUUGUGAAGCGGAACGCUCCGGGGUAGAGAUAAAAGAACAUCAGAUUAGCAAAUCACUUUUAAGAGGCAUGUCUUUCAGAUUUCCUUUGCGCUCAAAUUGACCAUGAUUGAUUCAUUUUAAUAACGUUCUCAGCCGUGCUGGAAGUGGGUGUGUGGAGCUUCUGGAGCUACCGAGCAGCUCUCUGCCUCCAGUGCACCAGUGGAUUGCACUAAUUAAAACAUGGGAUCCUGGAUUGCCCUGUCUUGUUUAUUAAUCUGUUAUGUACAGCACUCUACAAUUGAAUGCACUGAUUGAUCAGCUGCAGACUGCAGAACGGUGCUAAAUGGGCUGUAUUUAGGUCACUCAAACUGUCUUCCCCAUCCUCCGCCGUAUGCCCAAUAUAUUUAAUGUGUGCAUGUUCACUAUCUGCUUUCUGUCACAGCUCCGACCACAGUUUCCAUACCCAGGCAUCCUUUGCUCAAGCAAUGCUGUUUUUCCUUCUCUUUUACUCAUUUGUCCGACACCUUUAUCCAAAGCAACUUCCAUUUGCACCGCUGGGUGUCUUCCUGGAGCAAUUUGGCUGCCUUUGCUCAAAGGGUCCAGCAGAAGCAGCAUCUCACCUGGGAUUUGAACCUACAACCUUCCAGUUACAAGCCCAGAUGCCCUGACCCCUGCUGCUACCACGCUGCUACCUUGCUUCACACCCCAUGAGUGUAAUAAUUCAGUGUUUCUCUUGCUUGGCUGAAGCAGCUAAUGUUUGCAACACAAUUGGAGCCCCCAAUUAGGCUCUGUUAUGAGCUAAAGGUAACUUUGACUGCCCACCUGGCAGUGCCAGCAGGACUGAGCAUUGAGCAGCAACUCCAGUCUGCUGUGCCACUGGACCUCCUGUGGCAUGCUGGAUGCUUGUGAGCGUGCAUUGGUAUAGUGUGAGAGCUGUUUCAGUACUGGACUCAAUGCUCACUCUGCAGUGGGCUCUGUGGGGCUCGCACAACGUGAACGCAGGUGGUGGCAAGAUGGGGUGACAAGAUUGGUUGUUUGCAAAAAUAAUCAGAGUAAGUAGAGCACUGAUUUACCCAAAGGCAUGUGGGGGUAUGGAGCAAGCUACCUAGCCAUGUUGUCAAAAGCAAUACCCUGGCUUCUUCCAGGAAAUGGCUGGAUGAGAGCCUCAGAUCAAUCAGUUACUUAACGAGCUCAGUGGGCUAAAUGACCUCCUUUUCCUUGUAGCCUUAUGUUCUUCCGUAGAGGUUUCAAAUCUCUGGAAGGAAAAUUAAACAGAUUAUAAAUUUAUGAACAAACAGGAAGGAUGACUGACACUUUUUAAAUCAUUCCAUCAUCCUAGCCUUGCUUUCUUGUUCUCUCUAGUCUAGUAUACACCUUGUACUGCUGCAGGUUAUUCCCAGCUGGGGUGCAAUUUUUCAAAUCUGUAGCAGCUAAACGAAAAGUUGGGAUUUCCAUCACAAUCAUCACCCUCCCUCUCCUCCCCCCUCCCCUUCCCUUCUCUGGGCUUCAGGGUGAAUUUAUUCUGGCAAACACUAAAUCAAGUGGGAAUAUUAUGCAUGCAAAAAGAAUAGCAUAAAUUAUAGAAGCAUUGCAUCACGCACUACAGCUGAAGGACUCAAAUCCAGCACAGUAUGUGUACAUCACAGUUCAGACAACGUUGCGGUAGGAAAAUGCAUGGGGGUUGCAAAAAAUAAAUGUCACCGAGCAACUAGCUUCAGCUGCACUGUAACAGAAUUACCUGGAGGUAUUGUACCAAGCCCUGCAUGUGACUCUGGUGAAGACGAAAUGAAACAAUCUCUGCAGAGAUGUACAUUUCAGUUAAUCAAUAAACCACAUCGAUUCCUCCACACCGCUCUUCGUAAGGACAGAAUAAGCAAGCAUGAAUAGUUUUGCAUUUCUUUGACCUCCCCCAUGGUACAGAGACGUAGACCAACAAAAUGAAAUCACACACCAGUGCGACAACUUCAGAUGCAGCCCCAGGGACCAGAAUAACAGGGCGAGAGUAGAAGUUUAAAUAACCUUUUCCUGCCACCUGAUGAAGUUUUGCCCCCAAUAUACGUCUUUAUUUAACUAAUCACGUAAAAGCUUUAUGAUAUGUCUAUUGAAUGAAAGCUGGGGUAUAAGGUAUAUAAAGGUAUAUAAAACAUAUACCUUCCACGUUAGCGAUAGUGCCCAGGGAUAUACUAAGACAUGCACAUCAUAGCGCUAGCAGACUCCCUGUGAAGCCCCAGGUUGCUGUUGUUAACACAGAUGCAGAGACGAAGUUUGUCAGUCAGCUGUGAAAUGCGGUUGACCUCACUGACAACCCCGCCCAAGGCAAGAGCCGGCCCAGCUGUCGGGCUGCUGGUCAGGCAUGUGGACCUCAGCGGCCAGCCCGCCACCCACUUUGCACUGGCGAGCGGUGCCCACUGGAGUGGUCUGUCUAUGCUCUGGGCUCACUUUCUCAAAACGCUGGUGUGCAGAAGCCGUAGCGCUGGGAGGAGUGGGAUCUGGUGCAUGAAACUACUGUGUGGCGUUUUGAGGUAAUUUCGUGCAGCACCAAGGGCUGCUAAACUCUCUUACGUGGCUUUCCAAUGCUGCACUCAGGGGACAUAGGCCACAGGCUGGGUCCUCAGCACGUCGGAGUCACAGGCAUGAUACAGUUUGAUCAGGAUUAGGAGCGACUAAAGAUAAAGCAUGGGACUAGCCAUGUGCACAAGUCCUUUAUUUUUCCCCGUGCCCUCAGUAUGUGAUACGUGCAGCAGAGACUGCAGAGCAUAAGACUCCAUAAGGGACUUUGAUAGCCUUCAAAACCAAAAGUACUGAAGGUUGAAAGGCAUCUGGGAUGAAACACGAGCAUGCGAAAUUCAGUUCUGAGGGGCUCCUGAGGAAAAUUAAUACUAGGCUGGGGGCUGUAGGCUGGGGGCUUAGGAUUGCAGGAGGAAUAGCUCCACAGUUUAUCGUUUCAACCCUGGCAGUGAGUUUUUCUUUUUUCCUCCUUUCAUUUCGGUUGCUCCACGCAAUGCCCCUGGAGCUCCAGUCUGUAAUGAUCUGGGUCACUGCAGAACAGGCCAUUUCUGACGCAUGUAGAGAGAAAUGUAAUCAUCUU